UACGUAGGGUGCGAGCGUUAAUCGGAAUUACUGGGCGUAAAGCGUGCGCAGGCGGUUUUGUAAGACAGAUGUGAAAUCCCCGGGCUUAACCUGGGAACUGCAUUUGUGACUGCAAGGCUAGAGUACGGCAGAGGGGGGUAGAAUUCCACGUGUAGCAGUGAAAUGCGUAGAUAUGUGGAGGAAUACCGAUGGCGAAGGCAGCCCCCUGGGUCGAUACUGACGCUCAUGCACGAAAGCGUGGGGAGCAAACAGGAUUAGAAACCCUAGUAGUCC
rnacentral:rRNA from 2 species